GACGAACGCUGGCGGCGUGCUUAACACAUGCAAGUCGAACGGACGGGCCCUGCUUUUGUGGGGUGGUCGAGUGGCGAACGGGUGAGUAACACGUGUGUAACCUGCCCCUGACUUUGGGGUAACUUCAGGAAACUGCGGCUCAUACCGGGUAGGAGCUCCUGCUGCAUGUGGGGCGAUGGAAAGUUACGGCGGUUGGGGAUGGUCUGGCGGCUUAUCCGCUUGUUGGGGGGGUAGUGACUUACCAAGCGUUUGACGGGUAGGCGGCCUGAGAGGGUGACAGGCGACAUGGGGACUGAGGGACGGCCCAGACUCCAACGGUAGGCAGCAGGGGGGAGUAUUGCACAAUGGGGGGAAGUCUGAGGCAGCAACGCCGCGUGCGUGAUGACGGCCUUUGGGUGGUAAACCGAUGUGGCCGGUGACGAAGCGAGAGUGACGGUAACGGGUAAAGAAGCCCCGGCUAACUACGUG
rnacentral:rRNA from 1 species